GCUCAUGGCUCAGGACGAACGCUGGCGGCGCGCCUAACACAUGCAAGUCGAACGAGAGAUGAGGAGCUUGCUCUUCAAAUCGAGUGGCGAACGGGUGAGUAACGCGUGAGGAACCUGCCUCAAAGAGGGGGACAACAGUUGGAAACGACUGCUAAUACCGCAUAAGCGCACAGAGCUGCAUGGCUCAGUGUGAAAAACUCCGGUGGUAUAAGAUGGACCCGCGUUGGA
rnacentral:rRNA from 1 species